CUCUCUCUCUCUCUCUCUCUCUCUCUCUCGGAUCUACAUGAACAAGAAUUUCUCUGCCUUCAGAUCAACAUGAACAUACAUGUAUCCUCCGUCGACAUUUCUAACUCAACUUUCAGAUAUUCAAGUAGUUUGUUUCUUCAAUUUAUUUCAAGGAUGAAUUUGGGGAUAAAGUGCUUUCCGUUGUAUGCCUAUACCAUUGCCAUAUGUUCAAGUAGUUUGUUUCUUCAAUUUAUUUCAAGGCUGGAUUUUGGGGAUGUUGCUUUCCGCUACCUAUACCAUUGCCAUGUGAUUCUCAAUUUCUCUCUUUUCUUUUAUAAUGCUUUUAUAAAUCCUCAGUUGGCAAUGUUAUUAUUAUUAUCCCAAAAAUCAAGCUAAUGAACUCAGCAGAGGUAAAUCUACCUUCCUGAAACCUUACCUAUCAAUUAUCUUAUGUCCUCUUCUUGAUUUGAAUAGUUGGUUACUUCUUGGCAAAGACCCCCUCCAAUUUGUUUUGGUGGUGAAUAAUCUAGGCAAAUCUGCUACACGACAGUCCAACUUAUAAGUUGCAUAUCAAUUAUAAACCCCUACUAAGAAUAUAAAUCGCCACCAUCUGCUUUUGGUUCUCUAAUUAGCUAUUAUAUCAGACGGGGAUAUGCAUACCUGGUACAUCACUAGUCACAUGGCCCACAUCCGACUUAAAAGAAACCUUUGUGCUCUCUCGAUCCGAAACACUAAUUUUUCUUUUAUCAUGAGAGUUGCUGCUUAGGUGAAGAGUUUAAUUGCUGAUUGAGGAACAUUUUCUGAAUAACACAGAAUACCAGGUAAAGAUGCAACUACCAGUCAUAAAUAUUUUUUAUUAACAAUAACUUGCAAUGAACUAUACCCAGACUUGGACUAGCAACUUUUUUGGGUAGUGACCAGACUUGGACUAGCAACUUUUUUGGGUAGUGACUUGGACUAGCAACUAAAUAGCCUUUUUUAAAAUUAUUUUGGUCUUCAGUUUGAUUUCCAUUGGCUUUGGCCCGACGGUUUCAGGGCUGAAUUUAUGUGAACUAGCAAUAACAUUCUUCUUUACAGAGUGAAUAUGCAGAGAAUCUGUUUCAAUGACAUUAGAAGCUAUGAGCUUAGUUAUUUAUUGAUUGAUAUAAUAUGUAGGCUUAUAAUGAGAAAGUGGUAAAUUUCGUUCCUAUUUGUCUAGAUAGGGCUUAAGAUUUAGGACUGUGGAAUUAGUUUGGAAAGGUAUUUAGGUAUCGAUCGUCUGAAAUUCUAUCUAAGUUUCAAAUCUUAACCUAGCUGUGAAUCAGUAUUCUCAAUUACGAACAUGAUAAAAUUGAUAUUGGGCGUUAGAAAAUGAAUGACAGGUUUGGGCAACAAAUCGUAACUUAGUUGUGAAUCAGUAUUCUCAAUUAUGAGCAUGGUUAACUCAUGGCGAAGCAGUAUAUAUGUUUGAACUUGAAAGUUUGGCUUAAUAUACCAUUACCUUAAAUCACUCUGAUGAAGCGUAACUAUCAGUUGGGUGAUGCUAUAGGCUGUGAACUGAAGGCAGGGGAUGGGGUUGAGCAGGGAGGUGAUCAAACAUUCAAACAUACACGUUUCUAUUGCAGUUACAUAGAGAAUGUUAUGUGUAUGCCCUGGAGGCCUUGAUUUGGCAACUUAGAGCACUAGGUUUAUGUGGUUGAUACCAGAAAUCUGUGAGUUAACUAAUUAUCCACUUUUUGUUUGCUUCUGAUUUAUACCUUUCACCAGCUUUGAAAGGCAAUGUAGGAAGGUAUGAUCCUCAAAAAAAUCUCCAGGAAAUGAUGAAUUUCGGAAUCGUAAAGGAUGUCUUUUAACUUAAUCCAUAAGGUUUUUGUCUCAGAUGAAUGUGAGCUUGUUGAAAAUGUAUUGUUUAGUGUAUCUUCAAAUCCCAUUGAAUUUUUUUUUGUGCUGUUUAACUGUUAUCACAGUUCUUAUUCUUAUUAUUACCGUCAAAUCUGAAAUUUGGUUGUUCAUUAGGGUUAGAACAUUCUAAUUGUUCUUAAUUGUAGCUCAUAUCAUAGGCUGAUAACAACUUAAUUCCUUGUGCAUCUGUUUCAGCAUUGCUUGUUUCUUUAGAAUUUUUUUUGCAAGUUUUGAUCUUGUUUGGUUUUAUCUAUGAGUGUCUAGACAACGAGUAUAUGACAUGUUCACUUGAGUAAUUUUUGCAUGAAAUGGGCUUGUAUUUUUUUUUAAUUUUUUUUUAGAUUUUAGACUUAUUCUAUCAUUCAUUUUAGCCUCAGGGAAACAUGGAGUAAGAUUAACGAAGGCUUUAUUACUAAUGAGAUAUGUAAUAGUAGUGUUCUGUAAACAUUUCUUACUAAUGUGGCUUGUUUGGUUAUUUUUGUGUGAUUUGUCUUGCAGUUGCUAUAUAGUAAGAGAUGAGUUAUCGCAAGAGGGUUAGACCUGCAACAAGUCUUGGGAAUGGCACACCAACGAUCCACUUUCAAAUGUCUGGGUGUGGCUGAAUGGUUGCAGACCAUGCAUGUGGUUAACCAGGAUUUUCUUGAUAAGAGUUUGAGAUAUUCCCCGUUACAGUUUUAGCAUAAACACCUUAGAGUCUUAUUAAACGCCAGACAGUCGGCGAUAGGAAUUAUGCUACCCGGUCUUCCUUGAGUAUUAAGACCCUUUGAGGGAAGAAAUAUAGAUGGCUUCUCUCUAACAGUUUCUUCAACAAACAGAAGGAUACUAGCAAGUAGUGGGACUCGAGUUGGCGUGAAUGUGAGGCGGGUUACAAAUUGACAAUGCAAACGAGCUAUCAAAUUUUUUGUUCCAGAGGAGUAUUUAGCUUACAGCCAUGCCAGAAGGCUUUACUGUAUUAAGUGUGCUAAAUGUGCUGAAGGAUGAGCCUGGCAUCAGUUCUUUGAAAACAAGAACUUCAAUAUAAGUUGUUCAAUGUCUUUAAUGUAAACAAAUAGUAGAAGUGUGCAUAAUAUUACAAUGUUAAUGUACGAUACUAAUAAUUAUUUUGUUGUAGUUUAUAUCAAUUUUGAACAAUUCAUGUAAGACUCAUUUUUUCUUCCAUUUAUACAUAAGUAAUGAAUA